rnacentral:misc_RNA from 1 species
AAGUCGUAACAAGGUCUCCGUUGGUGAACCAGCGGAGGGAUCAUUACCGAGUUUUCAACUCCCAAACCCACUGUGAACAUGUACCAUUUGUUUAUUCGUUGCCUCGGCGGGUUCUACUCCCUGGAGACAGGGGGCCAGCCCCCGCCGGUGUAACACCCAAAACCCUGAAUGUGUACCCGUUACACGGCAGUAUUACUCUGAGUCACAUCAUUUUAAAUGAAUCAAAACUUUCAACAACGGAUCUCUUGGUUCUG